rnacentral:lncRNA from 1 species
CAUUUCUCGGCCUCAACCAUGUCCAACUCGCACGAAUCACACCAAAAAUCGGGCGAAUCGGCUCGCUAAGUUUACUGGUUCCCCCUUCUUCUCUUCUCCUUGUUCCACGUAGCAAAAUUCCAACGAUUUUCAUCAUUUCAAUCCAAUUCACGCGUCUCUUUGUUCUUUUUGUUCUUUCCGAAACAAAUUCGGACCCUUGAAUGAAUCUGGAGAGAAUGUGAACCAUUGGGUAAUGAUUUUUGUCCAAAAUUUCUAUUUUUUCGAUUUUUGUUGGUGAAAGGGGAUAUCAGGAUUUGAUUUGGUGGUCCCAUAAGCGUUUCUUGGAGAGGAGAAGAAGAAGCUUCUAGGGCUUCAUUUAUAUUGAGGGCCUUGGACAGAAUUUUGGAGGAAUUUUUGGAGAAAUUUCGGAUUGGAAUAAUUAGGGUUCUGUUCAGCUUCUUUUGAGAAUUUUUGCAUGGUUUUGCUUUUUUCAGAAAAAAAACCAAAAAUACAAAAAAUAUAGCUUGAGUUUAAAUUUUUGUUGAAACUUGUUUCCUUUUCGUAAAAUCAGAAAACACCCCAAAAAUAUUUUGAUUUCUUCCAAUCAAUUUCUGUCAAUCGAAAAUGGUUGAAGUUGCAUGAUUAACCCGAGGUUUGGAGCAGGUUGAUUUCCUGCUUGUCGUUCGAGGUCUGGUUGGUCUUAAUUGCGGUUCAUUCGAUUUUAUUGCUGUUUCUCGAAAGACUCAAGAAUCAAGGAGUGUAUAUUUGUUGAUUUUUCUACUAUUACAUUGAAGGCAACUUUCAUCACAUGUUCAUUUCUUUCCUUUUUAUUCUUGUUAAUGGUGGUUUGCUCUGUAGUGAUAGAUAUCUGAUCGUAUUUUAGUAGAGGCUAUGUUCGGAGUCCGUUCCUGAUUGCGACUUGUGUUUGAAAGAGGUUUUUCGAUCCAUGCUUGUCGUUCGAUGCAAUAUCUUGUCGUCUGAAUAGGAGUAACUGAAUACUGGAAUGUCCAGAUUGUAUUCGAGCCUCCAUAUUACAUUCAUUCGUCUUUGACUUAUUGACGUAUGAUCUGUUCCUUUCUGUUGGUUUGCAUUCUGCUCUGUGUCAUGUGUUUCAAAUGGUUGCUUAGUAUCCAUGCUAGAUUUUAAAUGGCUUUUACAUUGAGAUUCAAUUGAGGAGUUCUGUUGUUGUCUUGUGGUUGAACUAGUUUCUUGGGUAUCAAAAGUGGCAGAAUAUUUACACGUUAGAUUCAGAAUGAUAUGUCCAUUUGGUGAGGUUUAAGUUGAUCGAAUUCCCUGUUUGAGAUCGCAAAAUGUUUCGUGCUUCACUCUUUCUGUUGAUUAAGCUAUCAUUUACGUGAAUAAGUUUAAAAUUACUGAUUCUUUGCUUUCGAUUUUGUAAUGCUCGUGUGCUGGUUUGGCUGCUAGAAAACAUGAAUAUAGUUUGUCCUUCGUUGUUCCAUUGAAAUUCUCUGUUCUCACUAUUGAUUUUGGUACUAAACUUCUUAUUUCUUCACGAUCUGAUCAUGCAUUUUUGUAUUGGACAUCACUCACCGCUCAUGAGUUUCUUGAAGUGUCGUCUUGUAGCUCAGUCACAAUCAUGCAUUACUCUUACUGCGUUUAAGAUUAUCAUGUUGUUUUUCCUCACUGAAUUUGGUUGCUUAUUGGAAUCGAGAGAAUUAGUUUGGUCUUAAGAUUAAUUGCCCCAAGGAAAAUAUCACUAGAAUGCAUUUUAGCACAACAUAAUCUUCACCGUUCGAGUGGUAGCAUGUGAUG